CACGCCGUAAACGAUGCUCACCGUGCUCUAUGCGAUAAGACGGUAUGGGGCUAAUAGAAAUAAUUAAGUGAUGCCACCUGGGGAGUACGUCGGCAACGAUGAAACUCAAAGGAAUUGACGGGGGCCCGCACAAGCGGAGGAACAUGUGGUUUAAUUCGAUGAUACGCGAGGAACCUUACCCGGGUUUAAAUGUAUGUUGCAUUAUGUANAAAUACGUAUUUUCUUCGGAACUGCAUACAAGGUGCUGCAUGGUUGUCGUCAGCUCGUGCCGUGAGGUGUCGGGUUAAGUCCCAUAACGAGCGCAACCCUUAUGAUUAGUUGCUAACGGUUCAAGCCGAGCACUCUAUUCACACUGCCACCGUAAGGUGCGAGGAAGGAGGGGAUGAUGUCAAAUCAGCACGGCCCUUAUAUCCGGGGCUACACACGUGUUACAAUGGUCGGUACAGCGGGUUGCAUUUACGUGAGUAACAGCUAAUCCCAAAAAUCGGUCUCAGUUCGGAUUGGAGUCUGCAACUCGACUCCAUGAAGUUGGAUUCGCUAGUAAUCGCACAUCAACCAUGGUGCGGGU
rnacentral:rRNA from 1 species